rnacentral:rRNA from 1 species
GGCGAACGGGUGAGUAACGCGUGAGGAACCUGCCUUUCAGAGGGGGACAACAGCUGGAAACGGCUGCUAAUACCGCAUAACACGAUCUGACCGCAUGAUCGGAUCGUCAAAGAUUUAUCGCUGAAAGAUGGCCUCGCGUCUGAUUAGCUAGUUGGCGGGGUAACGGCCCACCAAGGCGACGAUCAGUAGCCGGACUGAGAGGUUGAACGGCCACAUUGGGACUGAGAUACGGCCCAGACUCCUACGGGAGGCAGCAGUGGGGAAUAUUGGGCAAUGGGGGAAACCCUGACCCAGCAACGCCGCGUGAAGGAAGAAGGCUUUCGGGUUGUAAACUUCUUUUACCAGGGACGAAGAAAGUGACGGUACCUG